AUGGGCGCCAACUCGCUGCCGUCGCCGUCGUGCCCCGACGGCCGGAAGCGGCGCGUGUGCUACUACUACGACCCGGGCAUCUCCAACGUCGACUACGGCAAGGGACACUCCAUGGUGCCCCGCCGCGUCGCGAUGACCCACGGCCUCGUCGCCUCCUACGGCCUCCUCAACGACAUGACUCGCCUCCGCACCAGGCCCGCCAGCCCGGAGGAGCUCCUCGCGUUCCACGACCAGAAAUACGUCGACCUCCUCGGCAGGCUCACCCCCGCCGCGUACAUCAGCGACGGCGAUCUCCGGCGGACGGCCGAGGAGCACGGCAUCGGCCCCGUGCGCCGCUGGGACGACGGCGCCUGCACGAACGACAACCCCGUCAUCGACGGACUCAUGGAGUACUGCCUGAGCUACGCCGGCGGGUCGCUGGCCGCGGCGCGCGCGCUCUGCGGGGGCGACCACGACGUCGCUAUCAACUGGUCCGGCGGCAUGCACCACGCGUGCCGGGGCCACGCCAACGGCUUCUGCUACGUGAACGACAUCGUGCUCGCCAUCAAGCAGCUCCUCGGCCGCUUCCGGCGGGUGCUGUACGUGGACAUCGACGCGCACCACGGGGACGGCGUGGAGAAGGCCUUCGCGGACUCCAACCAGGUGAUGACGCUGUCCUUCCACCAGUACCAAACCGAUUUCUUCCCCGGCACCGGGAGCAUCGACGACGUCGGCGAUGGGGCCGGCAGGUACCACGCCCUCAACGUGCCGCUCAAGAAGGGCAUGGACGACCAGGGGUACCAUGAGCUGUUCAAGCCGAUCGUGGGCAAGGCCAUGCAGGUGUUCCAGCCGGACGCCGUGGUGCUGCAGUGCGGCGCCGACUCGCUCUCCGGCGACCGGCUCGCCGGCCUCGAGCUGUCGGUGGGCGGCCACGCGGAGUGCGUCAGGUACCUGCGGGGAUUCAACGCGCCGCUGCUCCUCCUCGGCGGCGGCGGCUACACCAUUAACCACGUCGCCUCCUGCUGGUGCUACGAGACGGCGGUGGCCGUGGGCAAGGAAGACGAGAUCGCCGACGAGAUACCACACCAUCCGUACGAUCACUACUACAGGAGCCAGGGUUACAAGCUCCAGUGUCGCACGGAGGCGCCCGGCAGCCUCAGCAGCGGGGAGAAUAAGGACGCGGCCGCCAUUAGGGUGAAAGCCCUGGAGCACCUCUCGGCGAUCAACUGCGCCCCGAGCAUACAGUUCCACGAGCCAUGCGGCGCGGCGGCCCAAGGCAUGGACGUCGACGACCUCUGCCACGACGACGACAACGAUGAAGAAGAAGAAGAAGACCCAAUGGAGAGGCUGCAGCGGCUGUGCGACAACGCGGACCUCGCCGGGUUUUUCGUGGAGUUGGGGCGGAAGCACAGACUAUCGUCCUCUGCCAUGGUUUGA
rnacentral:rRNA from 1 species